CCUGUGUUUGUUAGUGUGUCUGUGUCUUUCCCGAACUUGUGUGUAUACAGUAUGUGCGUGCCAGGUCUCUUUCUAAUUCACAGCCACUUUGUUCCGAGGCUUGCAGAGAGCUGGGGCGUCUACGCUUCUCUUUGAUGUUCCCCUGCUUGUGUUCUACCAUGUGAGUGUCACCAUGAACAAGAGGAAUGGUGGCAUUGACAUUCAUCAGUUUUUUGUGCAGAAAAGUUGAGAGCAGUGAGAAGAUUACUAUCAGUUAAAUGCAGAUGAUAAGUAUGCAGUAGUACAAGAGUUAUGAGAGAGAAGGCGUGAGGAUGCCAACAGGGCAGGGAGAGCAGGUGACAUGGAGUGGUUUUGGUUACAAUGUCCUGCUGAAAGACUCAUGACCUUGGAUGGAGACCCAGUAUUCUGACAGUGGGUUUGACAUUGUGCUUCAGAAUGUCUUGGAAUUCAACUGAUUUCAUGACGCCAGGCACUCAGUGGCAGACAUUCUCCCAGAUGGAUUGUGGCAUGUUCAGGUCUGCUUUGGCAAAUUGCAGCCUGGCUGGCUUGUGUCUGUCUCUCAGCAGUGGGGUCCCCCUGGGUCUCUUAC
ensembl:lncRNA